CUGAUAUAAGUCUUGCACUCGUAGAGUUCAAAACAGAAAGAAGUGAAGAUAACGAAGACACAGAAGUGAAGACCACAUAUUUCUGCAGUGUGAGUAAUAUUAUCAGCUUUGUAGAAAAGAAAGUUCUCGCGAAGGUUUAGAAAAUGUUACUUUCUAUGAUAAAUAUGUGGCUGUGUGCAGGAAUAUUUACUUUUACGUGUGCAACGGAAGGAGAGGUUCAAGUUCCAGUGAGACUGCGAAACAGUACUUGCCUGUACCGCGACGUCCAAGUCCCCCACAACAAAUCUCUAACAAGCGAGUGGCCAUGUGAAGAACUCACCUGCAACGCAACUGCGGGCGAA